AGCCGACUAGGAUAAUAGAUUAUCCCGUACGGUCGACAUAACUGAACUGCACGGGAUAAUCUACUAUCCUGUACGGUC
rnacentral:pre_miRNA from 13 species